UAACAUGACCCUUGAAAAUUGGAUUCAGAU
rnacentral:piRNA from 1 species